CCUCAAUUAGUAUAGUGGUCAGUAUCCCCGCCUGUCACGCGGGAGUCCUGGGUUCAAUUUCCCGACGGGGAG
rnacentral:tRNA from 1 species